rnacentral:rRNA from 1 species
CCUACGGGUGGCAGCAGUAGGGAAUUUUGCGCAAUGGGGGAAACCCUGAUGCAGCAACGCCGCGUGAUCGAUGAAGUACUUCGGUGUGUAAAGAUCUGUCAGCGGGGACGAAACUUGACGGUACUCACAGAGGAACCACCGCUUAAUUCCGUGCCAGCACCCGCGGUAAUACGGGGGGUGCAGCGGUAGUCCGGUUUCAUUGGGCGUAAAGAGUGCGUAGCUGGCACGUUAAGUCUGGUGUUAAAGGCGGAGGCUUAACUCCCGUAUGGCAUUGGAUACUGGCGAGCUUGAGUGCGGGAGAGGUAAGGGGAAUUCCUAGUGUAGCGGUGAAAUGCGUAGAUAUCAGGAGGAACAUCAGUGGCGAAAGCGGUUUACUGGACUGUAAUUGACGUUGAGGAACGAAAGCGGGGGGAGCAAAUGGGAUUAGAUACCCUAGUAGUC